AUUUCACCGAAACGUCCCAGCUCUUUCGAUGCGUUCUUGCUGCUGUUGUUGUUGUAAUUGUUGUUGCUGCUGUUUAAGUUGCUGUCGUUUACUGCAGUUUGAGCUUUGACCUCAGCCAUUUAAAAAACGAAACUCAGCCAUACGAUAUGACUUGGCUGAUAACAAAUCAAAAGAGACCAAAUUAUAAAGGUGUGUGAGAAAAAAAAAAUUCGUUUUUCAAUACAAGUUGAACCACUUUCUAAUAUAUAUUUUCUUUUCUUUCGUGGACUUGGAUGUUGACUGCAGUAAAAAAGCGGGGGCAAGAAGGGAAAAAAAUAAGAGAAGAGAGCUGAAUAAAAAAGGCCACACGUCAAUGUCAAUAUCCACAUAGAGAGAUAGAUAUAUAUAUGUGUAUAUAUUCUCAUUUACUUCCCGGUUUUAUCUUUAUUUAAACUCGCUCCUGCUUCUCUGAUUGAUCUUUUAUCACUGCUGUUGCUGCCGUAAAUUGAAAAAAAAUGGGAGAAAAUACAAACGAGAAAAAUAA